CCUACGGGAGGCAGCAGUGGGGAAUAUUGGACAAUGGGCGAAAGCCUGAUCCAGCCAUGCCGCGUGUGUGAAGAAGGCCUUCGGGUUGUAAAGCACUUUCAGUGGGGAAGAAAGCCUUGGGGCUAAUACCCUCGAGGAAGGACAUCACCCACAGAAGAAGCACCGGCUAACUCCGUGCCAGCAGCCGCGGUAAUACGGAGGGUGCGAGCGUUAAUCGGAAUUACUGGGCGUAAAGCGCGCGUAGGCGGUCUGAUAAGCCGGUUGGGAAAGCCCCGGGCUCAACCUGGGAACGGCAUCCGGAACUGUCAGGCUAGAGUGCAGGAGAGGAAGGUAGAAUUCCCGGUGUAGCGGUGAAAUGCGUAGAGAUCGGGAGGAAUACCAGUGGCGAAGGCGGCCUUCUGGACUGACACUGACGCUGAGGUGCGAAAGCGUGGGUAGCAAACAGGAUUAGAUAUCCCGGUAGUC
rnacentral:rRNA from 1 species